UCGGGCCUGCAGUGGGUACGGGCAGACUAGAGUGCGGUAGGGGAGAUUGGAAUUCCUGGUGUAGCGGUGGAAUGCGCAGAUAUCAGGAGGAACACCGAUGGCGAAGGCAGAUCUCUGGGCCGUAACUGACGCUGAGGAGCGAAAGGGUGGGGAGCAAACAGGCUUAGAUACCCUGGUAGUCCACCCCGUAAACGUUGGGAACUAGUUGUGGGGACCAUUCCACGGUUUCCGUGACGCAGCUAACGCAUUAAGUUCCCCGCCUGGGGAGUACGGCCGCAAGGCUAAAACUCAAAGGAAUUGACGGGGACCCGCACAAGCGGCGGAGCAUGCGGAUUAAUUCGAUGCAACGCGAAGAACCUUACCAAGGCUUGACAUACACCAGAACGGGCCAGAAAUGGUCAACUCUUUGGACACUGGUGAACAGGUGGUGCAUGGUUGUCGUCAGCUCGUGUCGUGAGAUGUUGGGUUAAGUCCCGCAACGAGCGCAACCCUCGUUCUAUGUUGCCAGCACGUAAUGGUGGGAACUCAUGGGAUACUGCCGGGGUCAACUCGGAGGAAGGUGGGGAUGACGUCAAAUCAUCAUGCCCCUUAUGUCUUGGGCUUCACGCAUGCUACAAUGGCCGGUACAAAGGGCUGCAAUACCGUGAGGUGGAGCGAAUCCCAAAAAGCCGGUCCCAGUUCGGAUUGAGGUCUGCAACUCGACCUCAUGAAGUCGGAGUCGCUAGUAAUCGCAGAUCAGCAACGCUGCGGUGAAUACGUUCCCGGGUCUUGUACACACCGCCCGUCAAGUCAUGAAAGUCGGUAACACCUGAAGCCGGUGGCCCAACCCUUGUGGAGGGAGCCGUCGAAGGUGGGAUCGGUAAUUAGGACUAAGUC
rnacentral:rRNA from 1 species